ensembl:lncRNA
GUUAGAUUUGUAUUGUGAUUGUCAUUUAUGCUUAGAAAUAUUUACUCAUAUAUGCUUAGAAGUAUAUAAUCAUUUGUAGAUUGAAAGAAUGUCUCAUCCCAGGAGGUCUGUAACAACUCUGUGUAGCAUGAAGAGGGGAGUGCAUUCACUCCUCUUCAGAGUGUUCUGGCAUAGAUCACACACCUCCUAGGAGAGGUCGUAUCUUCUCUUGCUGAUAUAUAGUAUAGCAAACAUACGUAUAUCUGUUUGAGUCUAAGAGCCUUUUGUUCAGAUGUACCGUUAGACUCCUGGCACCAGCUUUGGGGAGUCUUCAUGGGGUCAUAUCUCGACCCCACACACACACACACACACACACACACACACACACAAGGUAUACGUCAUAUGUUAAUGAACCUAUGCAUAUUCAUGUAACCACAAUAAAAGAGCAGUGUUACGGGAGAGCGGAGAGAGCAACUGGGGUCAAGCGAAGGAACGGCGCCUGUCCAGUUCUCUCCCGUGCACGUGAAACAUAAAGAAUGUUGCCUACUCUUGUCUUGCUUUGCUGUGUAAUUACAUUGCCUUCAACGUUCCAGCGAAUAGGUUUAAGCUACAAACCUAUCAUUAAUUGGUCCUUCGACGCCGGAUCCCUGGAGUCGGCAUUCACCGAGGAGAGAACCCUGACGUCAGCGAGACGUGAGAAUUUGUCAUCGGGCCGGUGGAUGAGCUGUCUGUUUUCUCUCUUCGAUGAAUGACGAUCGGCGGGAUCCGAGGCUGAUAUUACACGCUACGCAACACCGAGUAAGUUUCAAGUCUUUGCCACUGAGUGCGGCAAAGCACGCAUCCACUGUGUGAGGUUGCGUAGAAAGUCUUUGCCACUGUGUGCGGCAAAGCACGCAUUCACUAUGUGAGACUGAGUUGAAAGUCUUCAUCACUGUGUGCGUUAAAGCGCGGGAUCACUGUUAUGCAAGUCUUUGCCACUGAGUGCGGCAAAGCGCGCAGCCACUGUGUGAGACUGCGUUGAGAAAAUAGGCCUAAUUUUUGUUGUUUGUGGCGAGGAUAUUUGUUGUGUUGUGUUAAUGACUGCGAGCAGGCGUGGUCUGUGACACGUUUGUUGUUAUCAUGGGUUCCCGAGCAAGUAAGACUGCCUCACAGGAGACAACACAUUUUUGUAAGAAUUUACUCCCAACAGUGCGAGGUAUUUAUAUUCUCAUAAUUGUCAUGAGCGUAAACUGGUCGCGAGAAUCUCAAAUGUUAGAAGUUUUCAGAAAACACAGCAGCCUUGAAGAGCGUGUGGAGAAGGCCAGCUCACAUCAGCAGCAGUUAAGCUAUGCUCUGGUGAAUGGCUUUCCCCCACCCCUUGCUGACAUAAAAUGUUUAGAUGAUUUCCCUGAUCAACAACGGCCUGUGCUCCAGACCAUUAAUUUAACCGGUUGUUAAAAGUAAUCUGCAUUAAGCUUAAGGUUGCUCAAAUUCAGUACAAUGACAUAUGAGAUGAAGUAAAAUAGGCAAAUAUUCUAACUAAUGAAGUGCAUAGAGGCACUUGACCUGUUUGUAAGACUGUUGUCUUAUUAUGAGCCAUUGUUGAGAUAUAGAGCACACCUGUGAAAACACCUAUUAUGCUGAACCCUGUGUGAAACGGCUGAAAACUACAUGAUGGAAAAGCUGAAAAUGUAAGUCUUUGCCGCUGUGGGCAAAGCACCCAACCACUGUGUGAGGUUGCGUUGCUGUCUCUUCUGGGCUGAUGAGCAAGCUACACAUUAUCAGAUCGGGAGCUGGCUGAGAACUCAUCAAAGAAAGGGGAAGAGAACUAUGAUAACUCGAGUAUGUAGCGUAUCCGUGAGUUCAGCUUCUUCUUUCAGAUGCGCAGCAGUUUUCCUGGAUCUUGAUUCAUGUGUGUGGAGUGUUCAUAGCAUCAGCAUCAUGUUUUUGUUUAUUUGCUUUGUUGGGUUGAAAAAUAAUUAAAUAAACUUGUGAUCAUACUUAUGGAUCACCAUGGCACAUGUCAUCAGCCAUAUGAUUUAUUUAUGCAGAUGAAAAAGUGAGUGUGAAUGUGCCUGACGUCACAGUGUGUGUGCGCUGUGUAAAAGUAAUUGUCACAAAUUGUGAGAGCGGUGAUUCUGCAGGUCACCAGCUAGUGUAAAGAAAGAAAGAGUAAAAAGAGACGAAGUUUAUAUUGUAGAUGAAAACAAUAAUAGGAAAAAGGUUUUGUGUUUAUCAGCCAAGAACAACUACAAUCUCACUUUCUGCUUUUAAGAAAGGAGAGUUCACAAAAACAGAGAGAGUUCUGUGUGUUGGUUAAGCAGUGAUAAUAAUAAUGAAAUGUCUUAGUUUUGUCACUUUCAGAUGAAAAGCAGACCUGGAUCAUUUUCCACAUGCAGCAGUCGGAAUAAAGUUAUAGUUUAAUAUCAUUGGAAACAUUCAGGCCAAGUUUCUGGCUAACUUAUUUACAGCUCCAUGUGUCCCUCAUCCUCACAAGCGAGCUCUCACUCCUCCCUGAAGACAAGGAAUGCAGUUCCAAAGAGCAAUAACAUGGCAGAUAAAGAGACAGCAGCAAAGUCCUGAGCAGAGAGACCCAGCAAGCAGCAGCAGUGUGGACAAACAGCAGUGGAGAAGAAGAACAAACCAUCAUCCUGACUGGAUGAAUGACACUGUGUUUCCAGCAAGCUGCAACUUCACUGUGCCUGUGAAGAAAACUUUUGAAAAAGAACCUAUGAGGAGACUGUUGGAGUUUGACAUUUGCCACUUUCGGAGUAAAAUGGCAAGAAGAAACAGUGGAACACAGGACAAAGCUGAAGAAGAACUGCCGGCUGUUGGACUGUUGAAGUGGGAGAGGACAACAGAGUGAGAGGAGGUAAGGACACAGAGGAAAGCUGUUGUUUAAUGUGGGAAAUCAAAAUUUGGGUUAGCAAACCUGGGGAAAAGAAAACUGACUGCUUAAGUGGAAAAUUGUGAAGGAAUCUGAAACACUGCAAAAAGAAACAUAUACAAAAUCACACACACAAGCAGAACAUGCAUUAACCCUACUAACACAAACACAAGAGAGCUCGUGAAGAUUAGGCAGCAUCUUGAGCAUGUGAGUCUGUUUAUCAUCUUGUCCAAGUCACUUAGUGUGAUGCAAAGAUCAGUGGACUCAUAGCACAUUAGUUGAAAAUGAUGAUCAAAUAAUAGCAGAGAGUGUGUAGGAAAGGCAGCUUUAAGAACAUGCCCUGCUGGAGAUGCAGCUCCACAGGCACAUUGAUUAAACCUGCCUAAUAACACAAACAUACAUGCAAUGAAAAUCAGCUUGUUAUCUCUCAUCAGUGUUAAAAUAGUGUCAAUUUAACAGACACUGGUUAUCAAAUGCUGAAUUUAUCCAAUGCUGACAAUUAACUAACUAUGUUGCAGGACAACAGUUUAAUUUUUGUGGGAAAAAAGAUUCUGGUUUGACCAACCAGUGAUCAGAAAAUAAAUUUAGUUGGUAAUAUAGUAAAUUGGGAGAUGCUUUCUGCCUGAUUGAUGCAGCACAAAAUAUUUUACUGUAUGAGGGAAAAUUCUAUUUUGUGAUAAUAUUUUGAACAUGCAUUUCUGUUGUCCUGUCAUCUUAGUGGGUUAAUAGCUGAUAUGCAAAUUGGUUGAUGGUUCUUAGAUUAAUGAAAGGUGACUGAAUUCUAGCACGAGUGAAUGGGAUGUGUUGGAGUUUGUUAGAGUGGAGACUCUAAAACACUGAGUUUCCUGUUGUGAUGUGUGAGUGAAUCCUGCACCCAAAUACCAAACUCUGAAUACAUGAGAACAAACUUCUUUUGCGAAAUGCAUGACAACAUGUUACAUGUUUUAUGAUGAUGGGGAAAAAGGAAAACUAAAUAAAAUUUGUGGCCUAAAUGAGUAAAAAGUACAGUCCUGGGGAUUAAAAUUCAUAGCUAAUGAGACAUGAGGCUUAUGUUGUGUGUUGUGCGGCUGAUGGUUGGUUUUGAAUUAAUCUAGCUGAUGAUUUUUCUUUUGUUGUGGAGUUGAGCAUGCCAAUUAGUAUGAUGGUAUGAUAAACCAUGCUAAUGGUAUGAUUUACCCUCCUGAGAUGAGGAGCGUGUGUCAUGACUUAACGAGGCCUUUUUAUUUUGACACUUUCACAGUGCACUGAAAGUUUUAUUGAUAAUCUCUGUUUGAGCAGAUCUGCACGAUUAGAACGGAAGCGCUAUACGACACGUCGUCGAGAAAAUUGUUGCAAGUGAGUUUCUCCAAAAGAUUACAAUGGGCUCCGGAGAAAGUCACUUAUAUGGGACAAUUAGAAAAUAGGUCCUUACCCAAAAAAGGAUUAAGCGAGAGAAUCCAAUAUAAAGUUCUUCUUUUCUUUUUGAAAUGACGUCAUUUUGCUGAGAAGUGGAAAUGAAAAUGCGACAAUAAUUUCCACUGUCAGCAAAGAACGAAUGAAUGAAUGCAUGAAUGAAUGAGUGAGAGAAAAUAAAACUGACUGACUGGUAAAAGCGGACAGAAGCUGACAGACUGACUGACAUCACUGUGUGAAGUUAACCCCACCUGACAAAGGUGCAGAUGAAUCUAUGUGUGUUUCUUUUACAGGAGCAGAAAGAUGACAGCAACAUUCGAGGUUGCGUGAUGAUUUAACCUUUUAAAUGCCACUUUCUGUGUCUGUGCAUCUGUCAGGGGUGUUAUUCACUACCUUGUGUUGUUCACAGCGGUGACUGUGAGAAAGUGUGUGUACACCUGCGCAGCGCUAACAUUUCUACAGCAUUACAGUUCUUCAUGUGAUUUGAUCAUGUGAUUUAUACCAGGAUAGCUGGUUGAUGUUUUCUACUACAGGAUUUCUGGGUUCAUGUGUGAAGAAAACUGCGUUUACAGGUUAUGAGUUGGUGAUGCUGUUACACUGUGUUGUUGGAGAAAUGUGAAGGUUACUUUGACGAUGUGAAUAACAUGUAAAACAUUCCCUGUGUUGAAACUAGUGCCACUUCUGUCCACAGCUAUGGUCUUUAUGGUCGUUUUAUAGCACCUCUGGACCCUGUCAAUUUGUACCUGACCACCAGGAUUGUCCAUGUGUGUUGCUAAUGUUUGUUUGUCUAAGAGUGCAUGUAGAGGAUUCAGCAGAGACGGACAAGUAACAUGAGAAAGCAACUAAGAGAUGCAGUGUUUGUGGAAUAUGGGGCUCAUUAGCUGGCCACUACUGAGCUCCUAGUGUUAAAUACAUGGAGUGACUUUGCUUAAGGGAAGUCACCGAUUACAUUAAUGAUAACUGUGUACAUGGGAUGAUCCAUGUCUGAGGCAAAUUAUAGCAAUAAUUGUAGUUUACUGAUUUGAGAAACCUGCACCUGAUGCUUGUCCUGUUGAUGCUUUAUUACUCUAAUGAUACAAUUGUUUAUAGGUGUGAAGUUUGAUUUUACUUCCAGAUCUUGUUUUCCAGGCCAUGAUGGUGUGUAUGCAGGCUCCUGGCGGAGCCGGGGUUUUAAGCAAACUUAAUAUGCAAAACACACUAACAUCUUUUAUUGCAGGGUUACGGAGCUACUCCAGAGGAGGUGAAGCCCUGAGGGUGCCUGGGACAUGAUCUAGCUAAUCUUUUUCUUUCAGACAGGAAUCUAGGUUUGAUGAGUUGACUCAUGGGAGUGUCCAUGCGUCAAGAGGAGGGGUCCAGAGUUCAAGAGUUACAUGAAACUAUCUUUUCUAUGUUUUCUAAACUAUGUUUUUAUCAUUUUUGUGUGAUUAACAGUUAGUCAGCGGGUAUUUAACCUAUGCAAAGUGGUGCACCCAUGUUCAGAUGAGGCUUUGAUGGUCCAUAAGUGAAGCUCACUGAACUAAGGAGUGUGGUUUGAUGAUGAUUGACAUGCUCCCCAAAUAGAAGUUUUUCCUCCUAGCAAGGAAAUACAGGUGCAGCAGUCAGAGUAUUGCUGAAAGGAAUCUCCUGAGAAAUCUUCUGAGGCCCAGUGAGAAGCAACCCAUUUCAGGCAUAGCUGACAGUCCGGGCAGUGGUUGAGGUCAAAGGUUGAGCUGUUUGGGGCCCAUUGGGAGAUCAGACGUCGGAGCCACAGCAAGGACCACGAAGCUGCGAAGGAUGAGAGCUGUGCCAAGGGGGCUUUCCAGAGGCCAACAGAGGAGAUUGUGGAUGACAGACGGGCACCUGCAGGAUGAGGGAGCGUGCCAAGCUCCACCGACAGCGCAGGGGAGUUCAAGGAUGACAUCAUGAUUCUGUGAAAAGCACAGGAACCAGAAGCUAUGGUGGUGAUGACAGCAGUUUCCUAUGAACAUCACCUAAUGCUGUGUCACUAUACUGUGCAUACGAUGGCACACUGAAAACUGCUGGGAUCAUAACAGCAGUAAGAUAACUGGAUCCAGCACCCUUUCCACAGAGGGGUUUCCUACAGAGGAUGGACAAUGGAGGAGUCAUAAAUAUCCCCCACAGGACAAGGAGGCCUGAAGUGAGGUGAUGGGGGUUGGCAGAGGCCAUAAAACUAGAGUGCUGAAGAGGUCUGCAGCUUUCACAAUAGCUGAGACCCAUGUUGACAAACAACAAACUCAACUGGUAUGUUUGAAUGUCUAUUCUACAUACAUUUGGACUCUGGUCCUAUGGACGGUGAUGGAAACAACUGGAAGACACAUUUAUGACGCCCUGCAGAACUUAAACCACUCUGCAGAGAGACGUGAGAUUUACAUGUCUUGCAGAGGAGCACAACCAAGCUGGAGUGUUUUUGAAAAUGUUAAUUUCUCUUUUGACCAUUAACAAUUCAUUUGUUUGCUUGUAGUAUGCAGGUUACCAUUGAAUGAGAUUAAUGAGAACUUGGAUAACUGCUAAUAUAUUUGUCAAACUGUGUACGUUUACAUAUGCUGAGUAUAAAAUGUUUGCAUUGACACUGUCAGACAUGGGGUGAUCAUAACUGGGGACUUUUCUAGCAUAAUUGCCAAAAGGGGGGAAAUGUUAGAUUUGUAUUGUGAUUGUCAUUUAUGCUUAGAAAUAUUUACUCAUAUAUGCUUAGAAGUAUAUAAUCAUUUGUAGAUUGAAAGAAUGUCUCAUCCCAGGAGGUCUGUAACAACUCUGUGUAGCAUGAAGAGGGGAGUGCAUUCACUCCUCUUCAGAGUGUUCUGGCAUAGAUCACACACCUCCUAGGAGAGGUCGUAUCUUCUCUUGCUGAUAUAUAGUAUAGCAAACAUACGUAUAUCUGUUUGAGUCUAAGAGCCUUUUGUUCAGAUGUACCGUUAGACUCCUGGCACCAGCUUUGGGAGUCUUCAUGGGGUCAUAUCUCGACCCCACACACACACACACACACACACACACACACACACACACAAGGUAUACGUCAUAUGUUAAUGAACCUAUGCAUAUUCAUGUAACCACAAUAAAAGAGCAGUGUUACGGGAGAGCGGAGAGAGCAACUGGGGUCAAGCGAAGGAACGGCGCCUGUCCAGUUCUCUCCCGUGCACGUGAAACAUAAAGAAUGUUGCCUACUCUUGUCUUGCUUUGCUGUGUAAUUACAUUGCCUUCAACGUUCCAGCGAAUAGGUUUAAGCUACAAACCUAUCAGUUACAAAAUUUUUUUAAAUAUAUAUAUAUAUAUAUAUAUAUAUAUAUAAAUAUAGUAAUAUUUUGAAAUAAUAAUAUAUUUAUGAUUAUUAUUAUUAUAAAUAUCAAACAUUUCAGUGGAUUUUCUGUCACAUAUAUUGUGUUAGCCCUGUGAUAAACUGGCAGCCUGUCCUGCCUUUGCCCUGUGGCAGCUGGGAUCGGCUUCAACCAUCUGCGACCAUCAAUUGGAUAAAUUGUAUUCCAAUUAUGUAAUCUGAUAAUUUAUAAACUCAAAGUAUAUCAUCAAAAUGUAAGUAAUGAUUAUAAAGAUGAGAAAGCAGACAAAAGUGUGACAUAAAUGUAAAUGUGUUGAAUAAACCUGACAUACGAG